rfam:Canis lupus familiaris chromosome 37, whole genome shotgun sequence.
GCCGGGCGCGGUGGCGCGCGCCUGUAGUCCCAGCUACUCGGGAGGCUGAGGCAGGAGGAUCGCUUGAGCCCAGGAGUUCUGGGCUGCAGUGCGCUAUGCCGAUCGGGUGUCCGCACUAAGUUCGGCAUCAAUAUGGUGACCUCCCGGGAGCGGGGGACCACCAGGUUGCCUAAGGAGGGGUGAACUGGCCCAGGUCGGAAACGGAGCAGGUCAAAACUCCCGUGCUGAUCAGAACUCUAGCUGUAGUCUUAAGCUUCCUCCUGACCUAGACCAUGUUUCCC